GUUUUUCAGGUUCCGCCGGGACGGAUGAAAAGGGAACCCCGUGCAAAUCGGGGACGGACCCGCCGCUGUAAUCCCUCUUUCUUCGGGAAAGAAAAGACCCUGGCAGUCGAGAGUGUCACUGUUGUGCCGAGGCGCAACGGGAAGGCCGCUGCCAGGGUGGGAAAGUCAGAAGACCUGCCUGAAAAAA
rnacentral:ncRNA from 1 species